GACGAACGCUGGCGGCGUGCUUAACACAUGCAAGUCGAACGGAAAGGCCCUGCUUUUGUGGGGUGCUCGAGUGGCGAACGGGUGAGUAACACGUGAGUAACCUGCCCUUGACUUUAGGAUAACUUCAGGAAGCUGGGGCUAAUACCGGAUAGGAGCUCCUGCUGCAUGGUGGGGGUUGGAAAGUUUCGGCGGUUGGGGAUGGACUCGCGGCUUAUCAGCUUGUUGGUGGGGUAGUGGCUUACCAAGGCUUUGACGGGUAGCCGGCCUGAGAGGGUGACCGGCCACAUUGGGACUGAGAUACGGCCCAGACUCCUACGGGAGGCAGCAGUGGGGAAUAUUGCACAAUGGGCGGAAGCCUGAUGCAGCAACGCCGCGUGCGGGAUGACGGCCUUCGGGUUGUAAACCGCUUUCGCCUGUGACGAAGCGUGAGUGACGGUAAUGGGUAAAGAAGCACCGGCUAACUACGUG
rnacentral:rRNA from 1 species